ACCUGGUUGAUCCUGCCAGAGGCGACCGCUUUUGGAGUUCGAUUAAGCCAUGCGAGUAGAAUGAAUUGGAUCAUUGCAAACUGCUCAGUAACACGUGGAUAACCUGCCCUAUGCUCUGGGAUAACCUCGGGAAACUGAGAAGAAUACCGGAUAGACCACAACGCCUGGAACGGUGUGCGGUUGAAAGGUCACGGCAUAGGAUGGGUCUGCGGCGUAUCAGGUCGUAGGGGGUGUAACGGACCUCCUAGCCAUCGACGCGUACGGGUUGUGGGUGCAAUAGCCCGGAGAUGGAUUCUGAGACACGAAUCCAGACCCUACGGGGUGCAGCAGGCGCGAAAACUUCACACUGCAGGAAACUGUGAUGAGGGAACUCCAAGUGACUGCACAUUGUGUAGCCUUUUCUUUACUAUUAAUCGGUAUUGGAAUAAGGGCUGGGAAAGACCGGUGCCAGCCGCCGCGGUAAUACCGGCAGCUCAAGUGGUCGUCGCUUUUAUUGGGCCUAAAACGUCCGUAGCCUGUUUGGUAAAUCUGUGGGUAAAUCAACCAGCUUAACUGGUUGAAUUCUGCAGAGACUGCCAGACUAGGGACCGGGAGAGGUGUGG
rnacentral:rRNA from 1 species